UGUUCGGGUUAAGUCCCGUAACGAGCGCAACCCUUGUCCUUAGUUACCAGCACGUUAUGGUGGGCACUCUAAGGAGACUGCCGGUGACAAACCGGAGGAAGGUGGGGAUGACGUCAAGUCAUCAUGGCCCUUACGGCCUGGGCUACACACGUGCUACAAUGGUCGGUACAAAGGGUUGCCAAGCCGCGAGGUGGAGCUAAUCCCAUAAAACCGAUCGUAGUCCGGAUCGCAGUCUGCAACUCGACUGCGUGAAGUCGGAAUCGCUAGUAAUCGUGAAUCAGAAUGUCACGGUGAAUACGUUCCCGGGCCUU
rnacentral:rRNA from 1 species